rnacentral:snoRNA from 1 species
GUGAUGAGGCCGCUGAGCGUUGAGUCGUGACGCAUUUUUCAGCCGGCUGA